rnacentral:rRNA from 1 species
CCCUUAGAUGUCCUGGGCCGCACGCGCGCUACACUGACAUGUUCAACAAGCCUCCUAGUUCGACAGGAUUUGGGAAAUCUUUGAACGCAUGUCGUGAUAGGGAUAGAUCAUUGCAAUUAUUGAUCUUGAACGAGGAAUUCCUAGUAAACGCGAGUCAUCAGCUCGCAUUGAUUACGUCCCUGCCCUUUGUACACACCGCCCGUCGCACCUACCGAUUGAAUGUUUCGGUGAAGAUUCCGGAUAGGACUUUUUUGAUUUAUUCCAAUUCUGUCUUAAAAGCUAUCUAAACCUCAACAUUUAGAGGAAGGUGAAGUCGUAACA